rnacentral:rRNA from 1 species
ACAAGCAGCGGAGCGUGUGGUUUAAUUCGAUGAUACACGAAGAACCUUACCCAGGCUUGACAUGUUGGUGGUAGGGAUCCGAAAGGUGACCGACCCUUCGGGGAGCCUUCACAGGUGCUGCAUGGCUGUCGUCAGCUCGUGUCGUGAGAUGUCCGGUUAAGUCCGGUAACGAGCGCAACCCUCGCUGUGUGUUAUAUGUGUCACACGGGACUGCCGGUAUCAAGCCGGAGGAAGGUGGGGAUGACGUCAAGUCAGCAUGGCCUUUAUGUCUGGGGCUACACACACGCUACAAUGGCCAGUACAAUAGGUUGCAAGACCGCGAGGUGGAGCCAAUCCUUAAAGCUGGUCUCAGUUCGGAUUGCAGGCUGCAACUCGCCUGCAUGAAGUCGGAGUUGCUAGUAACCGCGCGUCAGCCAUAGUGCGGUGAAUACGUUCCCGGGCCUU